UAUGACGAAAACAAACACCCCAUUCAAACAUUGUCCACGUAUAUAGUCUGUUGUUAACAAUUUAGACAUUGUCAAGAAAAAAGACAAAAUUAAAUAAAAAAUUACAAAAAUUAUAACCACUUUGAACAUUUAAAAAAUUCAAAAACUAUUUUAAACAAAUAUAAUGAAAAUAAGUAUUAAACUUUUUAAAAAUAGUUAACUUUUUUC
rnacentral:lncRNA from 1 species